CCUUAAAUUCCAUUCGAGUUUCAAUCUAGUGCUUUUUGUGUUUAUUCAUUUAUUUUAUUAUAAUUUAGGCUCUAAAUUUCAUUUUAAUUCCAAUUUAAUCCUUUAUUUGCUUAAUCUCAAACUUUUAUUCUUUUAUAUGCACACUGCUCUUGCUUUAUUUUAUUUAUUUAUUUAUUUUUACAUUCAUUGAUUCAUUUAUUUAUUUUUAUCCUUGUAUUCACUUAUUAUUCUUCCAUUUUUUUAUUUUUCUUUCAUUAGUUAUUCAUUUUAUUUAUGCC
rnacentral:lncRNA from 1 species